UUAGCCGUUUAGCGUUCAACAUUGAAAAUUUUAUUUUUAAAUUUAAGACUUAAACACAUUAAAAGUUAAUAGAAAGAUAAGAGAAUUGAAUGAAACAGAUUGUCCCCACGGCAUGCCAUAGGAGAGUAUGGAUUUACGGAAAUGUUAUUG